rnacentral:rRNA from 1 species
UACGAAGGGGGCUAGCGUUGCUCGGAAUUACUGGGCGUAAAGGGCGCGUAGGCGGAUAGUUCAGUUGGGGGUGAAAGCCCGGGGCUCAACCUCGGAACUGCCUUCAAUACUGGCUAUCUUGAGUACGGGAGAGGUGUGUGGAACUCCAAGUGUAGAGGUGAAAUUCGUAGAUAUUCGGAGGAACACCAGUGGCGAAGGCGGCUCACUGGCUCGAUACUGACGCUGAGGUGCGAAAGCGUGGGGAGCAAACAGG